rnacentral:tRNA from 1 species
GAGGGUAUAGCUCAGUGACAGAGUGUGCGCCUACCAUGCAUGAGGUUCUGGGUUCAAUCCCCAGUACCACCG